rnacentral:rRNA from 1 species
UAUGAACGCUAGCGGCAGGCCUAAUACAUGCAAGUCGGACGGGAUUCAGGAGCUUGCUUCUGAUGAGAGUGGCGCACGGGUGCGUAACACGUAUGUAACCUACCUUUAUCAGGGGGAUAGCCUCUCGAAAGAGAGAUUAAGCCCGCAUAAAAUCACAGCACGGCAUUGUGUAAUGAUCAAAUAUUUAUAGGAUAAAGAUGGGCAUGCGGAACAUUAGCUAGAUGGCGGGGUAACGGCCCACCAUGGCGACGAUGUUUAGGGGAUCUGAGAGGAUGGCCCCCCACACUGGUACUGAGACACGGACCAGACUCCUACGGGAGGCAGCAGUAAGGAAUAUUGGUCAAUGGGCGGAAGCCUGAACCAGCCAUGCCGCGUGCAGGAAGACGGCCCUACGGGUUGUAAACUGCUUUUAUACGGGAAUAAACCCAGAUACGUGUAUCUGGCUGAAUGUACUGUAAGAAUAAGGAUCGGCUAACUCCGUG